AGUUUUGGGCAGUGGCAGUACCAUAGCCAAAGAGGUUUUUCUGAGGUGCAAUUACUACUAAUUGAAAACUUUUCUCAAUACCCCACUGUGAGGAUUUGCAAUAAAGUUGGCACUAUAUUGGCAAUUUUUGACAGUCUGUAAGGAGA
ensembl:snRNA U4 U4 spliceosomal RNA